rnacentral:lncRNA from 1 species
GUAGGUUCCCCACACUUUCUUUCAAAAAGAUCAACCUGGGGAUCAACCCUAGAGGUCUGAGAGAUGCAAGUAUGUGGGAAGGGUUUAAAAAAUAUGCUAAGAUGUUGUAUUCCAUGCAGUGAAUGAUUCUAGGGAACUGGGAAGAAAGUCGACCCAUCCUUCAGGCAACAGGUAUCACUGCCGAAAUCUGAAUCUUCGCUGGCCAAUGCUCCCAGGACUCAAGGCUGAAGCUGCGAUUGGAGGCUAACUUUGGGAUGAAGAGAAUAGCAUCCAGAAUAAGCAUCUCUGCCACAAUAGUGCGGGACAGUGCCAGGAUUUGAACCAGAAAGAACCCAGAGCUUUGGAUCCUAAGAGAAUUUAUUCCAGUGGAGACCACAAUAUCCAAGAAAGACCAAACCUUGAUCCAGCCCUCACUUGCUUCAUAUGUCCAGACUAUUAAGUAUCACCCUUCCUGCAGCAGGUCAACAGAAUGACCACUGUGAAUUCUAAAGCCUCCUUUCAAUGAUGUGUUGUAAACAAUGCCCAGGAGAGGCACCAAGUUCCCAACCACAUUGUAAGCAAAUAAAUAAACAC